rnacentral:rRNA from 1 species
CUAGCGGCGGACGGGUGAGUAACGCGUGAGCAAUCUGUCCUACACAGGGGGAUAACACUUGGAAACAGGUGCUAAUACCGCAUAAGACCACGAGGUCGCAUGGCCAUGGGGUAAAAGAUUUAUCGGUGUAGGGUGAGCUCGCGUCCCAUUAGCUAGUUGGUGAGGUAACGGCCCACCAAGGCGACGAUGGGUAGCCGACCUGAGAGGGUGAUCGGCCACAUUGGAACUGAGACACGGUCCGGACUCCUACGGGAGGCAGCAGUGGGGAAUAUUGGGCAAUGGGCGCAAGCCUGACCCAGCAACGCCGCGUGAAGGAAGAAGGUUUUCGGAUUGUAAACUUCUGUCCUUGGGGACGAAGAAAGUGACGGUACCCAAGGAGGAAGCCCCGGCUAACUACGUGCCAGCAGCCGCGGUAAUACGUAGGGGGCAAGCGUUGUCCGGAAUGACUGGGCGUAAAGGGCGUGUAGGCGGCUUUUUAAGUGUGAAGUGAAAGUCCUGCUUUCAAGGUGGGAAUUGCUUUGCAAACUGGAGAGCUUGAGUGCGGAAGAGGUAAGUGGAAUUCCCAGUGUAGCGGUGAAAUGCGUAGAGAUUGGGAGGAACACCAGUGGCGAAGGCGACUUACUGGGCCGCAACUGACGCUGAGGCGCGAAAGCGUGGGGAGCGAACAGGAUUAGAUACCCUGGUAGUCCACGCUGUAA